rnacentral:rRNA from 1 species
GGACCAAGGAGUCUAGCAUGUGCGCGAGUCAUUGGGACUCUGAUAAACCUAAAGGCGCAAUGAAAGUAAAGGUCCGCCUCGCGCGGACCGAGGGAGGAUGGGCCGGUCCGAGAACCGGCCCCGCACUCCCGGGGCGUCUCGUUCUCAUCGCGAGAAGAGGCGCACCCAGAGCGUACACGCUGGGACCCGAAAGAUGGUGAACUAUGCCUGGUCAGGACGAAGUCAGGGGAAACCCUGAUGGAGGUCCGUAGCGAUUCUGACGUGCAAAUCGAUCGUCGGAACUGGGUAUAGGGGCGAAAGACUAAUCGAACCUUCUAGUAGCUGGUUCCCUCCGAAGUUUCCCUCAGGAUAGCUGGCGCUCGCCUUGCGAGUCUCAUUCGGUAAAGCGAAUGAUUAGAGGCAUUGGGGUCGAAACGGCCUCAACCUAUUCUCAAACUUUAAAUGGGUGAGAUCUCCGGCUUGCUUGAAGCAUGAAGCCGCGAGAGAUCGGAUCACAGAGUGCCAAGUGGGCCACUUUUGGUAAGCAGAACUGGCGCUGUGGGAUGAACCAAACGCAGAGUUAAAGCGCCUAAAUCGACGCUUAUGGGAUACCAUGAAAGGCGUUGGUAACUUAAGACAGCAGGACGGUGGCCAUGGAAGUCGGA